rnacentral:sRNA from 1 species
GUUUGUGUAUUUUAAUAGUGUAGAAAAGUGAAAAAGAUGGUGGCUAACGCUCUCAAAAAGGGGGGAUGCCUAUGGUUCUUGGCUUUAUCCUAGAAAGGAACAAGCAUGUCUGUUUUUGAAGCACUGACACUAAUGAUUGCAUUUGCAACUUUAGUUGUGUCGCUGACGGAUAGAAG